rnacentral:rRNA from 1 species
UACGAAGGGGGCUAGCGUUGCUCGGAAUUACUGGGCGUAAAGGGCGCGUAGGCGGGUCGUUAAGUUGGGGGUGAAAGCCCAGGGCUCAACCCUGGAAUUGCCUUCAAUACUGGCGACCUUGAGUAUGGCAGAGGUGUGUGGAACUCCGAGUGUAGAGGUGAAAUUCGUAGAUAUUCGCAAGAACACCAGUGGCGAAGGCGGCUCACUGGCCCGGUACUGACGCUGAGGUGCGAAAGCGUGGGGAGCAAACAGG